GUGUUAGCACAAUUGGUAGAGCAUGAGGCUCUUAAUCUCUGGGGUUGUGGGUUCAAGCCCCACAUUGGGCA
rnacentral:tRNA from 1 species